UACGUAGGUGGCAAGCGUUGUCCGGAUUUACUGGGCGUAAAGAGCGCGCAGGCGGUCGUUCAAGUCGCGUGUGAAAGCCCCCGGCUCAACUGGGGAGGGUCACGCGAUACUGAGCGACUCGAAGGCAGGAGAGGGUAGUGGAAUUCCCGGUGUAGUGGUGAAAUGCGUAGAUAUCGGGAGGAACACCAGUGGCGAAGGCGACUGCCUGGGCUGUUGCUUGACGCUGAGGCGCGAAAGCUAGGGGAGCGAACGGG
rnacentral:rRNA from 1 species